rnacentral:lncRNA from 1 species
AAAGAAAUAAAACACAUUCUUAAAUGUUUUUAGAUCUGGAGUAGAGAAGUUGGACUUUGAGGAUAUUUUACAUAUUUUUAUGUAUAUGUAUUUUUAUUUAUUUUUUUAAAAGACUUUAAGAGCAGUUUUAGGUUCACAGCAGAAUUAAACAGAAAGCACUGAGAUUUCUCAUACACACCCUUCCCCCACACAUGCGCAACUUCCCCUGUUUUCAGCAUCUUCCACCAGAGAGCUACAUUUGCUGCAAUCCAUGAAUCAUCAUAAUCAUAAUCACCCAAAGUCUGUAGUUUACAUUAGGGCUCACUCUUGGUGUUGUAUAUUCAUGGAUUUAGAGAAAUUUAUAAUCCACCAUUACAGUAGCAUACAGAGCAGCUUCACUGGCGUAAAAAUUGUUCGUGCUCUGCCUAUUCAUCCCUUCCCCUACCAACAUCUUGGCAACCUCUGAUCUUCUUGCUUUCUUCCUAGUUUGAUUUUCCAGAAUGUCAUACACAGGUAUACCUUGGAGACUUUGCAGGUUGAGCUCCAGACCACCAUAGUAAAGCAAACAUUGCAAUACAGUGAGUCACACAAAUAUUUUGCUUUCCCAGUGCAUAUAAAAGUUAUGUUCACACUAUUCUGUAGUCUAUUAAGUAUGCAAUAGAGAUCUGGCAGUGGCUCAUGCCUAUAAUCCCGGAACUUUGGGAGGCUGAGGCAGGAGGAUUACUUGAGCCCAGGAGUUUGAGAUAAGCCUGGGUAACAUGGUAAAACCCCAUCUUUACAAAAAAUACAAAAAUAGACCUGGAUGUAGUGGCACAAGCUUGCAGUACCAGCUACUAAGGAGGCUGAGCUGGGAGGAUUGCUGAAGCUCAAGAGGUCGGAGCUGCAGUGAGCUGUGAGCAUGCCAUUGCACUUCAGACUGGGCAACAGAGCGAGACUCUGUCUCUACAAAAAAAUGGGUGUGGUGGUGCACACGUGUAGUACCAGCUACUUGGGAGGCUGAGGUGGGAGGACUACUUGAGCCUGGGAGGACAAGGCUGCGGUGAGCGGUGAUCAUGCCACUGCAUUCCAGCCUGCGCAGCAAUGUGAGACCCUAUGUCAAAAAAUAAAAUAAAAUAAAUAAAUAAUAAAUUCUUGUCAUUUCAACAAUGUUCACGGCAUCUUCACCAGGAGCAGAUUCCAUCUCAAGAAACCACUUUCUGUGCUUGUUUCAGCAGCACAUAUACUAAGACUGGAAUGAUGUAGAGAAGAUUAGCAUGGCCCCUGAGCAAGGAUGACAUGCAAAUUUGUGAAGUGUUCCACAUUUUUUGACAAAUGGGAUCUAAUUAAAGAGCUUCUGCACAGCGAAAGAAACUAUCAUCAGGGCAAACAGGCAACCUACAGAAUGGGAGAAAAUUUUUCCAAUCUACCCAAGUGACAAAGGUCUAAUAUCCAGAAUCUACAAGGAACUUAGAUUUACAAGAAAAAGAAACAAACAACCCCAUCAAAAAGUGGGCAAAGAACAUGAACAGACACUUCUUAAAAGAAGACAUUUAUGCAGCCAACAAACAUGCAAAAAAGCUCAACCUCACUGAUCAUUAGAGAAAUACAAAUCAAAAGCACAAUAAGAUACCAUCUCAUGCCAGUCAGAAUGGAGAUUAUUAAAAAGUCAAGAAACAACAGAUGCUGGUGAGGCUGUGGAGAAAAAGGAAUGUUUUUACGCUCUUGGUGGGAAUGUAAAUUAGUUCAACCACUGUGGAAGAUAGUGUGGCGAUUCCUCAAGGAUCUAGAACCAGAAAUACCAUUUGACCCAGCAAUCCCAUUAUUGGGUAUAUACCCAAAGGAAUAUAAAUCAUUCUGUUAUAAAGAUACAUGCACAGGUAUGUUUAUUGCAGCACUAUUCACAAUAGCAAAGACAUGCAAUCAACCUUAAUACCCAUCAAUGAUACACUGAAUAAAGAAAAUGUGGCACAUAGACACCAUAGAAUACUACGCAGCCAUAAAAAGGAAGGAGAUCAUGUCCUCUGCAGGGACAUGGAUGAAGCUGGAAGCCAUCAUCCUCAGCAAACUAACACAGGACCAAAAAGCAGACACCGCAUGUUCCCACUCAUAAGUGGGAGCUGAGCAACAAGAACACA